rnacentral:rRNA from 1 species
GACAGAGGAUGCAAGCGUUAUCCGGAAUGAUUGGGCGUAAAGCGUCUGCAGGUGGCUUUUUAAGUCCGCCGUCAAAUCCCAGGGCUCAACCCUGGACAGGCGGUGGAAACUACCAAGCUGGAGUACGGUAGGGGCAGAGGGAAUUUCCGGUGGAGCGGUGAAAUGCAUAGAUAUCGGGAAGAACACCAACGGCGAAAGCACUCCGCUGGGCUGAUACUGACACUGACAGACGAAAGCUAGGGUAGCGAAAGGG